rnacentral:rRNA from 1 species
AAAAACAUUGCCCCAUGAAAAAAAUAUGGGGUAAUUCCUGCCCAGUGACACAACGUUCAACGGCCGCGGUAUCCUAACCGUGCAAAGGUAGCAUAAUCAUUUGCCUAUUAAUUGUAGGCUAGAAUGAAAGGAUCAACGAAAUAAAACCUGUCUCAACUAGUUACCUAAAAAUUAUUCUCUACCUGAAGAAAGGUAGAUACCCUCGAAGGACAAGAAGACCCUAUAGAGCUUAAUUCUACUUAUAGAUUUACACUAUAAAAAUAUUCGGUUGGGGCGACCCAGGGCUAAUAUAUCACCCACCAGGUAAAAGAUAUAUACAUCAAACAAAUGACCCUUAUAAGAUCACAAAACCAAGCUACCUUAGGGAUAACAGGCUAAUCCCAUUCAAGAGUCCUUAUCGCCAAUGGGGUUUGGCACCUCGAUGUUGGCUUAGGGUAUCUAUAUAGCGCAAAAGUUAUAUAAAGAUGGUUUGUUCAACCAAUAAUCCCCUACGUGAUCUGUUUCAAAAACCGGGA